GAUCGAUCUGGUGGGUCUGUUUUGAUUUUGUGGUUUUAAUUUGAUUGUUGUUAAUGUUACAAAUUUAAAUGAUAAAUAAUGUACAAACUACUAGUUAAUAAUGGGGACCGCUGGGACCCUCAGUCUGGAUGUUUUCCCCUGUACAUGCGUUUCUUUUGCUGGUAGGGAAUCAGGAACUCCUGUACGAGCCAUUGCUAGCAAGUAAACAGAGGAGCAGCGCCCAUAUAAGGAAGCCCGCCCCUUUGUGACAUCACAAAUGGGCAGUUUUACCACGCCUUUUGAAACCGGAGUGUUUUGAGCCAUUCUAAACUUCGUAAACCUCAUUAUCUAAAACUUUGGCGUCGUUUAACAUGAGAAUACAACAUUCUAAAUUACAUUUGUGGGUCAGAAAAGUGGAAAAAGUGAAAAAUAGGUUCACUUUAAUAAUGCUAUUCUAUUGAAGCUAACUGAUAAUAAAUAAACUUGUAUGAAUCAAAUCUGAUUCGGAAAUCUACCCGGCUCUUAUUUAGAAUAAUUAUUAGCUAACCUAGCUAUUUCGGCUACAAUACAAUCGCGUCUGAUAAAUCUAAAUCGUAUUAGCGAUCAUAAGAUGUACAUUGUUGCUAACCGGAUGUAUUAACAUCCCGAGGAAUGAUAGCAGACAUCGCUGGGUCGUGUCCAAACCGGAAAUGAAACUCCAGUCCCUUGUGUGUACUUCCUGGUCCGAUCAUAAUCCAGCCUGACUGACACACACACACACACACACACAAGAGCACACAAUACAGCCAUCCUCCUCGGUCCGACCCGCCGCUCGUCUUCCCGAUGUUAGCCGACAUCCGUGUUCGGCGUUUAAGCGACACACAAAGCCCGUCGGGAAUCAUCCAUUGACGUCCAUUUGUGGCAUCCAGCACCAAGCAGCCUUUUGUGGUUGUAUACCCGGGGGGGGGGAGGACCGCGAAGUAAACAUCCCAGUUUGCUUCCAUGAGAGGCGGCGAGGAGGGCUCGCUAUCUCAUCACCAUCACCGUCAUCAACACCAUCAUCAUCGCAGUCGACGUUGAUCCGGGAUCCGGUGCCCAUGGCGUCUGCUUCGAAGGUGUCUAUUUUGGAUUACUUUAAUAUUGUCUUUGAGGGCGAAAAUGGCAAAAUCGAGUCCAACUGCAAAGCGUGUGGGACCAGAAUCCAAGCGAAGCGCAGCGUCACCUCCAACUUCGUAACGCAUCUCAAGCGCAAGCAUCAAGCCAUGUAUGAUGACUUUGUGAAAAGGAAAGACAUGAAAAGAGAAGGUUACUCCUCGGGUUCCAUGAACACUCUGACAACCAAUGGAGGGAACGCCCGCUACACCCACACCAUGGGUGCGGGGAUGGCAGGAAGAGGUGCAACCGGAGGGAUGGCAGCCGUGGAUGGAGGAGCAGCAGCAGUAGUAGGAGUAGUAGGAGUCGCAGGAGGAGGAGGAGUGAGCAGGUUCGACAAGCAUGACCCACGUCAGGUUUUGAUCAGCGAGGCCAUCACCAAGAUGAUCGUGAAUGAUCUUCAGCCAGUUUCCAUGGUGGAAAAUCCUGGCUUCCGAGCCCUGAUUCGGCUCCUGGAGCCCCGCUACAGCCCAGAUUCCCAACACUACAUCCAGAGCCAUCUCCUCCCGACCUACAUCUACCAGGCCCAGGUGACCAUCCGUCAAGCUCUGGCCUCGGCGCAUGCCCUCAGUCUCAGCUUGGAUGUUUGGAGGAUCUCAUCUGGAGCUACGCUAGGCUACCUCGCCGUCACCUGCCACUUCCUGUCGUCGGAGUGGCAGAUGCGGUCGGCUCUCCUGGCUUGCCUUCCUUUCGCCGGGGAUCGCGUUCUCUCCGAUUUCGACGAAGUGUGUCACUCUCACGGAGUAUCUGGACGAGCCUUUCGUGUGGUCGCAGAUCCUCUCCAGGGCACCGCCGCCAUGAAGCCAUGUUGUCUUCCCGGUUUCUGUCAGGACGGCGAUGAAGAAGAUGAUCCAGAAAAUGGAAAGGGAGACAUCCGGAACGGCCAUGCUGCUGGAGAAGAAGCGACGUGGGAGGACUCAUGGGAGCAGGGUCUCGGUCUUUGUCGUGUGGACUGCUUCUCUCAUUCUCUGGGACGCUGCGUCAGGGAAGGCUUGCAGGCUUCUCCGCAGCUUCAUUCUGCGCUGGCGAGAGCUUGCCGCUUCUACAACUUCAUCACCACUGUUGUUCCACCAGAGAAACUCAGCCAGGUGUUUGAUGGUUCUGGGAUGAUGUUAGGAGGACAAGGACGAGCUUCUCCACCGGUACAUGACUGGGCUGCUCAACUUAAGGCGCUGCGACGGCUGCUGGAGUCCAUGGAGAUCUUAGAGGAGAUGAGCGGUCCAGGGGAAACGGUGCUGGGUGUUUCAGAACGAGCCCUGCUGAGGGAGCUCACUGACACUUUGGAGCCCUUCAUGGAAGCGUGGGACAUGGUGUGUGGGGAGCGACCUGCAGACGUAAACGCCGAUAGACACGUCUCCAUCAGUCUGGCUCUUCCAUGUGUCUUGGGCCUACGUAAACAUCUCUCCGAGACAUCAACUCCACAUUGCCCGUCUCUCCUAGCGAGCCUCAGCCAAGCCGCAGAACGUCACUUGGCUCCUAUCCUGGAGAACCCACUCUACAUCACCGCCACCACUCUGGACCCCCAGUUCAAGCUCACAUGGAGCAGCAACCCGGAUUGGCACCGACAAGUUCUUCUCGAGGAAUUAUCAAAACAUUCCGCGGACUCCAACACGGAUCGAUAUCCUCAUUCCCGCGUAUCUCCAGCACCGACGCCGUCGUCCGUGUCGUCUCUGACGCGGCCCUGCAAGCUCUUCUCCUUCAUCAAGCAGAGACCCGUGAGUCAGGCCAAGAGUUUGGAGCAAGAGCUGGGCGUCUACCUGCGUGAGGAACCCACAGACGAAGACGCUCUGCAUUACUGGAGGCGGAAAAGCAUUGACUUCCCAAUCCUCUCCCAGGUGGCCAAGAGGGCGUUUACCGUACCUGCUUGCGGCACCGCCGUGGAAAGCAUCUUCCACCACGCCGACCACUGCCUGCGCCCCGAGAGAGCAUGUGUCCUACCAAAGAACCUGGAGACGCUCGUAUACCUCAAAGCCAACUACAGAUUACUUUGGACAUAGUAUUUUUUUUUUUCCAUGAAGCUUCUCGCUACGCUGAAGAACACGACCAAUUGUGGUUGGAUCCAUCUUCAAAGAUGAGGCCUCGUUUAUAUUUUUGAGGCAUUCCGUUGCAAUGUUUUGGUUUAUGAACGCCAUCUUCAUCCCUAAACCAAUCAUAACAUUGACAGGAAUUUAUUUGAUAUUUUUAUUGUUUUUUUUAAACGCCUUUAGCAUAUGGAACAACAUCUCCAAUUGUAUUUAAUUGACAUGUACUUUCUAUUCUACAGUGUACUACAUCAUUGUACAAAUACUUGGAGUGGAGUGGAGCAUUAGCCGAAGAAGAAGUAAUUUGACAUUCGGAGAUACAGAACACGGUGUGUCACUGGCUUGGGAACGCUUUGGUGUCUUCCCGGUGUGGAGAUGGAGGAGGUGGCUGGGGGCCGGGGACGCUACUGAGACUGCCGCCCCCCGCGACUUGGACCCGGAUAAGCGGAGGUAAAUGUCAAAUCAUGAUGCCGGCUGGUAUGUUAAAAGUCGGAAUACUUAAAAGCAAUUGGCAGGCCGGAUUGAAACGCUUGGUGGGCCGCGUGUGGCCCCCGGGAUGUAAUUUUCCCACCCGUGGUGUAGAAUGACAAGUUCCAUUAGCAUUGAUUCUGUUAGUGGGAUCUUAGUGGGAUUACAUAUCGUUAAUUCCGCCUGUUUUUUUGUUGAAAACUACAUAAAAUAUCCCUUUUGGAGCUUUUGGAUAUGACGCUACUUCAUAUCUCAUAUUCCCGAUGCUUUGUUUGUGUGCUGUUUAAUCACACGAGUGUAUUGUUGAUUAUCUGUGCAGCUUCAAGAGCCUCGGUAUCGCUCUCUCUCUCUUUCUCUCUCUCCACCCACCAGACCGUGACAGCUCAUCCAUUUGACUUAGACCAUCCGGCAAUGCAGCUCUCCUAUUGGUAAUUGCCUCUCAAAUGAAUUACUUGGCCCCGGAGUGAUGCCGAGGGAUGGGAGGAAAUUGUAAUUGGAUGCCCGUGCCCUCUGCUUUAAUCUCGUCAUGCCAGGUUAUUACAUCUGCAAUGCAGGGAAGCCGCACACAUAUAUAUAUAUAUAUAUAUAUAUAUAUAUAUAUAUAUAUAUAUAUGCAUUUGCAGAAGCACUUCUUCCCCUCCCCCAAUCUGUGAACCGGUGCGACAGAUGCUGUGAUGCCUUUUUCCUAUUCAUGACACAAACGAGACACAGACGUCCCCACUCGUCAUUUUCUGUGUGGACAGCACAGAGCCCAGACGGGGUCUAUUUAGGGGGAUGGUGUUGGGGGGGGGGGGGCUAGUCGGCUUAUUGCUUAGUGCUGCAGGACAGUAGAGGAGUUGGCAAAAACAAAAGUGGUGUUCCGUAUCAAGGGCGCCUUGGUAACCGCGUACACACGCGCGUGUAAACAGUCCGACUGUUAUUAAUAACCUGCCUGUUGCUGAACUGCUGACAGUUAGGCGACGUCCGAAUUAGGGAUCGACCGAUAUGUUUUUUUUUUGGGGAGCCGAUGCCGAUACCGAUUUUUUACACGCCUAAGUAAAGCUAAAAUCAUGCUGUUUGCUAACAGCAGAAAGGACACGCAACUGGAAACCUCAUAUUACAAAUAUACAACAUAAAAGUGGCCAGAAAUAUUUCAGUUUUCAACAAAGCAAAAAUUUGUUCUCAAGUCAGAAAUCACUCCACACUCUUUAUUGUUCUCUGAUUCUACCAUAUCUUACUUAUUGUGUGGAAAUAUGGGAUAAUAACUAUAUAAAAAAAAGCAAUCUUCACUCGCUAAAUGUACUGCAAAAAAAGGCCAGUAAGGAUAAUUCAUAAUGCCGCCUACAGAGAACAUACUAUCGGCUUAUUUCUAAAAUCACUACUUUGGUAUUUGACAAAAAAAAAAAUUAAAAAAAAUAAAUAAAUAAAAAAAUAAAUAAAAAAAUAAAAAUUAAUAAAAAUAUAAAAUAAAGUAAAAAAUACUUAAAUUAUAUUAGGAAAGCAGGAAGUGAACAAAUGUAACAGUUACUGAUUGUAAAAGUACCAGAUGGAGGGGUAGGAUUUAAUAAGCUUUGCUUCUUCCUACUCCUUUUGGACAUGUGGAACUGGGAACUGAUUAUGGGAUGCACUCAUUUGGAAUCUGAUCCAUACCAAAAUAAAAAUAAAAAUUACAAAAAAAUAAAAAAAUAUAUAUAUUUUUUUUAAAUAAUUUAAAAAAUUAAAUUAUAUUAGAAAAUAUAUAUGUAUAUAUAUAUAUGUAUAUUAGGGAAAAACCAAAAAACCUUAAACUGUAUUAUGGAAAGCAGGAGGUGAACAAAUGUAACAGUUAGUGAUUGUAAAAUUACCAGAUGGAGGGGUAGGAUUUAAUAAGCUUUGCUUCUUCCUACUCCUUUUGGACAUGUGGAACUGGGAACUGAUUAUGGGAUGCACUCAUUUGGAAUCUGAUCCAUAUCAAAAUAAAAAAAAUAAUAAUAAUAAUAAAAAAAAUUAUAAAAAAAUUAUAAUAAAAAAUAAAAAAACUUAAAUUAUAUUAGGAAAGCAGGAAGUGAACAAAUGUAACAGUUAGUGAUUGUAAAAGUACCAGAUGGAGGGGUAGGAUUUAAUAAGCUUUGCUUCUUCCUACUCCUUUUGGACAUGUGGAACUGGGAACUGAUUAUGGGAUGCACUCAAUUGGAAUCUGAUGCAUGUUCAAAUGAAAUAAAACCAUUACCAUUUUCCAUCACCCUUAGCCGAUGGCCGAUUUUGCUUGGUGCCGAUAUUUGUGGCCGAUACUGCUUUUGAUCCCUGAAUUUACAUGAAAAAAUGAUAACAAAUAUUACAGGUGUCAUGUUUAAAUAAAUAUUUAUUGAAACGUAAACACUGAACACAGUAGGAUUCAGCUGUCUUAAACGGCAUUAUCAACGCGGAGCACUUCCUGGUUCCCGGCAUGCUUUGCGGCACCGUCGAUGUAAAUACUUUGUCAGUUUGUAGUUAAAGUUGCAUAGUUUUUAGUUUUUUUUUUUUCUUUUAUUUGUCAGUUGCGUUGGUAUGUGAUGUUUUUGGGCUUUCUCGUUGUCCCAGUGGACCCCGGCGGAUGCCUGACUGUAAAUCAAAAUAUAUCGGCGAACACAUGUGCGUAUCGGCUGAUACCGAUUCAAGGGAAAAAACACAAAUAUUGUCCCGAUAUAUCGGUCGAUCCUUUACUCGCUCAUUGUAUGAACACCGUGAAGUUGGGCCUUUGCAGCCGUAACGGCGUCUUAAGACUUUCUCGAAGAUUUUCUUGAGGUCUUGAUGGACUUUUUGUCCAUUUUGUCAGAGAUCACCGAUAUUCUACCUGAGAGAGGACAUCUUUGUGGUGGUUCAUCACAAAAGAAGGGAUUGAAGUCAGGGUUCUGGAUCCAACCAAAUGCUGAUGUCCGUACAGUUUGUACAGUUUGUUCAGCCCUGUUCUACUUUUGUAAUUCGGUACACCCUUUCAGCAUCA